rnacentral:tRNA from 1 species
GGGGUUGUGGCUCAGUGGUAGAGCGCUCACCUAGCAUGUGCAAGACCCUGGGUUCAAUCCUCAGCACCA